rnacentral:rRNA from 1 species
AUUGAACGCUGGCGGCAUGCCUUACACAUGCAAGUCGAACGGCAGCACGGUUGCUUGCACCUGGUGGCGAGUGGCGAACGGGUGAGUAAUACAUCGGCACCUGUCCUGUAGUUGGGGAUAGCCCGGCGAAAGCCGGAUUAAUACCGCAUACGAUCCACGGAUGAAAGCGGGGGACCUUCGGGCCUCGCGCUAUCGGGUUGGCCGAUGGCUGUUUAGCUAGUUGGUGGGGUAAAGGCCUACCAAGGCGACGAUCAGUAGCUGGUCUGAGAGGACGACCAGCCACACUGGGACUGAGACACGGCCCAGACUCCUACGGGAGGCAGCAGUGGGGAAUUUUGGACAAUGGGCGAAAGCCUGAUCCAGCAAUGCCGCGUAUGUGAAGAAGGCCUUCGGGUUGUAAAGCACUUUUGUCCGGAAAGAAAUCCUUGGCUCUAAUACAGUCGGGGGAUGACGGUACCGGAAGAAUAAGCACCGGCUAACUACGUG